rnacentral:rRNA from 1 species
UCCCCUAGUAACGGCGAGUGAAGCGGGAUGAGCUCAGGAUGUGAAUCUGCGCUUUUUGCGCCGAGUUGUGGUCUGUCGACGGUGACACUACCAGCCGGGCCAAGUUCCUUGGAAAAGGACAGCUGAGAGGGUGAGACUCCCGUCCGCCCGGCAGGGUGAGUUGCCAGUCAACGAGUCGAGUUGUUUGGGAUUGCAGCUCUAAGUGGGUGGUAAAUUCCAUCUAAAGCUAAAUAUUGGUGGGAGACCGAUAGCGUACAAGUACCGUGAGGGAAAGAUGCAAAGAACUUUGAAAAGAGAGUUAAAGAGUACCUGAAAUUGCUGAAAGGGAAGCGAAGGAAACCAGUGUUUGCCUAGUCAUAUUUCCCUGGCCGCUUGCGGCUUGGGCGCUGUGUCUGGCUUGAGUUGUGCUUGGUUACCGGCCUUGGAAGAGCGCUGAAGGAGUUGACUUUAGUUGCUAGCAUUGGGCGGUGACUGANCAGGACGA